CCUACGGGAGGCAGCAGUGGGGAAUAUUGCACAAUGGGGGGAACCCUGAUGCAGCAACGCCGCGUGGGUGAAGAAGUACUUCGGUAUGUAAAGCCCUGUCAGCAGGGAAGAAAAUGACGGUAACUGACCAAGAAGCCCCGGCUAACGACGUGCCAGCGACCGCGGGAAUACGAAGGGGGCAAGCGUUAUCCGGAUUUACUGGGUGUAAAGGGAGCGUAGACGGAAAGGCAGGUCUGGGGUGAAAGCCCGUGGCUCAACCACGGGACUGCUUUGGAAACUGGGUUGCUGGGGUGCAGGAGCGCUCAGCGGAAUUCCUAGUGUAGCGGUGAAAUGCGUAGAUAUUAGGAGGAACACCGGUGGCGAAGGCGGCUUACUGGACUGUAACUGACGUUGCGGCUCGCAGGCGUGGGGAGCAAACAGGAUUAGAUACCCGAGUAGUC
rnacentral:rRNA from 1 species